rnacentral:rRNA from 1 species
AGGGCGACUGAAGCGGCAAAAGCUCGAAAUUAAAAUCUGGAAAUCAAUGAUUUCCCGAAUUGUAAUCUAAGUUGGAAUACCUAAAUACAGGAUGGCUCUUAAAGUUCCUUGAUUGGACUGCCAUAGAGGGUAAAAGCCCCGUAAAGGGUUGUCCUGAUUUAAGGUAUUCUUUUCAAUGAGUCGGGUUGCUUGGUACUGCAGCCUUAAGAUGGGAGGUAAAUUUCUUCCAAAGCUAAAUAUGGAUGGGAGACCGAUAGCGAACAAGUACUGUGAAGGAAAGAUGAAAAGAACUUUGAAAAGAGAGUGAAAAGAUCUGAAAUCAUUGAGAAGGAAGCUGUAAAAACUUACUGUAGUUGUGAUGUGACAACACAAGAAAAGUUGUGGAGUCUCGAUCAAGACUGCGGGCCGGAUGAGGUUUCUGGAUCCUAGUAUUAACAAGGUUCCGGGGGCCUGAGGGACUACGGUGAUUCGGCCAAAACGGUUUUUACUGACCCGUCUUGAAACACGGACCAAGGAGUCUAACACAUAUGCGAGUGUGCGAGUGGAGAAACUCAUACGCGAAAUGAAAGUGAAAGAUGCGAAGAUUCUGCAGCAUCGACCGACUCUUUGAGGGUUUGAGUAUGAGCAUAUUUGUUAGGACCCGAAAGAUGGUGAACUAUGCCUGAAUAGGUUGAAUUCAGAGGAAACUUUGAUGGAGGACCGAAGCGAUACUGACGUGCAAAUCGUUCGUCAAAUUUGGGUAUAGGGGCGAAAGACUAAUCGAACCAUCUAGUAGCUGGUUCCCUCCGAAAUUUCCCUUAGGAUAGCUGAAACAAUAAUGCAGUUUUAUCAGGUAAAGCGAAUGAUUAGAGGAAUCGGGACGUUCUAGUCUCGACCUAUUCUCAAACUUUAAAUUGGUAAGAUCUCCUGGUUAUCUUUAUUGAACUGGGAGGGAAAAUGCAUGUUUCUAGUGGGCCAUUUUUGGUAAGCAGAACUGGCGAUGAGGGAUGCUCCUAACGUCGAGUUAAGGUGCCUAACUAUACGUUCAUCAGAUACCAUAAAAGGUGUUGAUUUAUAUAAACAGUGGGACGGUGGACAUAGAAGUUGUUAUCCGCUAAGGAGUGUGUCAUAACUCACCCACCGAAUGAAUUAGCCCUGAAAAUGGAUGGCGCUCAAACCCAUAAAAGGUGUUGAUUUAUAUAAACAGUGGGACGGUGGACAUAGAAGUUGUUAUCCGCUAAGGAGUGUGUCAUAACUCACCCACCGAAUGAAUUAGCCCUGAAAAUGGAUGGCGCUCAAACCGUAUGACCAAUACUCGACCAUUAACGCAAAAGUACGUGUUAAUGAGUAGGAGGGCGUGGAAGUUGUGAGAAGCUUUUGGCGUGAGCCUGAGUGGAACGGCUUCUAGUGCAGAUCUUGGUGGUAGUAGCAACUAUUCAAAUGAGAACUUUGAAGGCCGAAGUGGAGAAGGGUUCCCUGUGAACAGUAAUUGGUCAGGGGUCACUCGAUCCUAAGGCUCUGGUUUACUCUGUAUAAGGAGCUCUCAAGCUCGGGCCGAAAGGGAAUCAGGUUGAUAUUCCUGAAGCUGUGGUGGUUUCGUGGCAACACAAACUUGUUCAGAGACAUCUGCACGUGCUCCUGGAAGAGUUUUCUUUUCUUUUUAACAAACUAGUGACCUUGAAAUUGGAUUAUCCAGAGAUAAGGUUAUAUGUUUGGAAUAGCACUACGCUUUUUAGUGGUGUCAGGUGCGCUCGUGAGGAUCCUUGAAAAUCUGAACAAGAAUAAUUCACCGCAGGUCGUACCCAUAACCGCAUCAG